rnacentral:rRNA from 1 species
UACGUAGGGGGGCAAGCGUUGUCCGGAAUUAUUGGGCGUAAAGAGCGUGUAGGCGGUCCGGUAAGUCAGCUGUGAAAGUCAAGGGCUCAACCCUUGAAAGCCGGUUGAUACUGUCGGGCUAGAGUCCGGAAGAGGCGAGUGGAAUUCCCGGUGUAGCGGUGAAAUGCGCAGAUAUCGGGAGGAACACCAAUGGCGAAGGCAGCUCGCUGGGACGGUACUGACGCUGAGACGCGAAAGCG